UUCUCACCUUGUUGAUUAUAGUUCUGUUCAUUAUUUCCGGUAGUAAAAAAAAACACAUAAACAUUCUUAAGUGUACACAUUCGGGCCGCUCACCUUGGCUGACUGAAUUACCCUACAUCAAACAUUGUAAACUUAUUGAUUUUGAAAAGCAUUUGUUUUUUCGUAUGUAUAUGAAAAUAAGAGCAUAUCAUUCAGUUCUUAGAAAAACUGGACAAAAAAAUUGAUGAUCUGGCUCAGGAAGUAAAAUCCCUGAAGGAGGAGGUGCGAGGAAAGAAGAAAGAUGCUAGUAGGAGUCCUGCCACCCAGAAUUCAAAUUUGCCUGUUCCACCGAGAAUCAGAACAGCUGUCCAUGAUGCCUAUAGGCAUGUCGUAGAAGAUGGGACUGGAGAAUGGCAGACGAAGAAUGAAGAAAGGAAAAUGAAGAUGUCAUCAGAAGUAAACAAAAGAACAACAGAGUCUGUGAAGUCCUUUGUGAAAGGACUCUAUC